rnacentral:rRNA from 1 species
GAGUUUGAUCCUGGCUCAGAUUGAACGCUGGCGGCAUGCCUUACACAUGCAAGUCGAACGGCAGCACGGGUGCUUGCACCUGGUGGCGAGUGGCGAACGGGUGAGUAAUGCAUCGGAACGUACCCGGAAGUGGGGGAUAACGUAGCGAAAGUUACGCUAAUACCGCAUAUUCUGUGAGCAGGAAAGCGGGGGAUCGCAAGACCUCGCGCUUCCGGAGCGGCCGAUGUCGGAUUAGCUAGUUGGCGGGGUAAAGGCCCACCAAGGCGACGAUCCGUAGCGGGUCUGAGAGGAUGAUCCGCCACACUGGGACUGAGACACGGCCCAGACUCCUACGGGAGGCAGCAGUGGGGAAUUUUGGACAAUGGGGGCAACCCUGAUCCAGCCAUGCCGCGUGAGUGAAGAAGGCC